rnacentral:rRNA from 1 species
CACGUAGGGUGCGAGCGUUGUCCGGAAUUAUUGGGUGUAAAGCGCGCGUAGGCGGCUUUGCAAGUCGAGUGUGAAAUCCCCAGGCUUAACCUGGGAACUGCAUUCGAGACUGCAUAGCUAGAGUAUGGGAGAGGGAAGUGGAAUUUCAGGUGUAGCGGUGAAAUGCGUAGAUAUCUGAAGGAACAUCAGUGGCGAAAGCGACUUCCUGGACCAAUACUGACGCUCAUGUGCGAAAGCGUGGGGAGCAAACAGGG